GAUGAACGCUGGCGGCGUGCCUAAUACAUGCAAGUCGAGCGAACGGACGAGAAGCUUGCUUCUCUGAUGUUAGCGGCGUACGGGUGAGUAACACGUGGAUAACCUACCUAUAAGACUGGGAUAACUUCGGGAAACCGGAGCUAAUACCGGAUGAUAUUUUGAACCGCAUGGUUCAAAAGUGAAAGACGGUCUUGCUGUCACUUAUAGAUGGAUCCGCGCUGCAUUAGCUAGUUGGUAAGGUAACGGCUUACCAAGGCAACGAUGCAUAGCCGACCUGAGAGGGUGAUCGGCCACACUGGAACUGAGACACGGUCCAGACUCCUACGGGAGGCAGCAGUAGGGAAUCUUCCGCAAUGGGCGAAAGCCUGACGGAGCAACGCCGCGUGAGUGAUGAAGGUCUUCGGAUCGUAAAACUCUGUUAUUAGGGAAGAACAUAUGUGUAAGUAACUGUGCACAUCUUGACGGUACCUAAUCAGAAAGCCACGGCUAACUACGUG
rnacentral:rRNA from 1 species